rnacentral:lncRNA from 1 species
CAGCAGACAAGUAUAGCAUUGCACUGUAAGUUGGGCAUAUAAUGUUGGGUGUUUGUAAAAAAAAAAAAAAAGACUCAAAAAAGACAAGCAUCAAGGUGUGGAUGUGUGCAAAGCAGUGAAAAGAUACAGGUACAAAGACCAGAAUUUCCUAAAGUUAUUGUUUGUGUCUAGGUGCGUGACGACUACUACCGCUGGUUGUGCCAGGGCAGACGUGGCAAGACCAAGAGUUCUGACAAGUACUCAGAGUUCAGUUCCACAUCCGGUUCCAACACGUUAAGGUCUCCCAAAACUUUGAAAGAAUCUGGAAUGUAACAAGAGUUUUCAGAAAUAACGAAUUCCAAGUGUGCUGCUUUGCAUAUAAACAUUUCCAGGGAAAAGAUGGACUGAAAACAGAACUGUUACCUGCUGAUAACAGACCUACUGCAAUAAGGAGACUGAAAUUGCCAGAAACCCAUGCAGGGAGCCAUCUAGCAAGCUCCGGAACUGGGCCCACCUUAAUCUUAUAUUGGUACAGGACUUCAUCAGACGUUCCCUUUUCUUUCAUGCUAAGGCUCUUCUCUUUUAAAGAGAGGAUCGUUUCUUUUUAAAAGGUACUCCUACAUGUAACACUUCCAUAAAAGGUCCUUACCGUGGACACUGGUUAGCCUUUUGCCUGGCUAUUUAUGCAUCAAAAUUUUGAAGCGAAUUUUGCAUAACAGGCAUGAUCUUUUUCAUCCAGUCUAUGGAUUGAUCUGAUGGCACUUCCCCUAAUGUUUAUUAAGUUGUUUUCAAGUAUAAACAUAUGAUUAUCUGCAGUACUCAUUAAGAGAGAUAGAAACAAGAGUGGUAAAUAUGCUAUAUCAAAGAGUGUUCAAGGAGUUAGGCAAAACAGGAAGGAUGCUGUAAUUUAGGACCGGACAAAGAACUUCACAUUAUUUUGCUUUGUGGUUAUAUUUGUCUAAAAGAUGAUAUAAAUUUUGAAUUCUGCCCAUAAAGCCAGGUCUAGAAGCUAUUUGAAUAGUCCUGCACAUAAAAAAUGUAUCUAAAUGUAGAAACAUAGCAUGGUGUAGGCAAAAUACAGACCUUUCAGAGUGGCCUUUUUUAAAAGGCCUUUUAUUUAUUUUUCAUAGAAAACUAAGCUUUCAUUUGUAACCUUGCACACUGAGCCAGGUUUAUUUAGAUAUAAGUAACCCUGUGUUAUAAAUCUGUUUAAAUUAUAGUUUGCUUCCAUUGCCUAAAGAUUUUAUAGUUCUGCUUCUUGGUGCAUUAAAUGUCUGCCAUGCUCAAAAUUCAGAUUCAGCUCAAAAGGCAGAUCUAAAUAAUCUAGCAUCUCAUGGGCUGCUUCAUAUCUGACACGUUUGAGUAGAAGCACAGAAAUAGAGAAAGAGUUUUCAUUUGAUGUUGUUUUACUGCUGUUCCCUGGAGUUCUGCAUGCGGUAACAAGACACAAUGACAAAAAUGGGUACAGGGUAUACAGCAAUCUCAGCUACAAGCAUGCAGGUAAUGCUGUUUAUUCAGACAAGUAGCAACUUGAGCCAGUGAAAAGGAAAAAGUUUUGGUGGGUUUUUUUUUUAUUACCUCGAUGAAACACCUCCAGGGAUCAGCAGAGCUUUGGUUAGAUUAGAAUGUUAAAAGCAAUAUCUCAAGAAGCGGGGAUGGAAAAACUCUUCCAUAUUCUUAUAAGAAAACAACACAAAUACAAAAUCUUCAGGAGUGAAGGAUGACUCAGUUUUCCUUUUUUUUUUCCUAUGAAGUUAAUGAUUUUUUUCUACAGUGGCCAUUCCCAGAACAUAUUGAAGAACUUCCUGUUAAGGCCAACUAGGCUUGAAUUGUUUUCAGUAUUCUUAACUUUUUUUGUAAAGUGUUUGGUAUUUUUUUUUACUUGUAUCUCAAAUUCCAGGUGUUGUCUUAUUUGCAUGUAAAUAGCAAAACACCAGAGUUCACAGCUGAUAUUUUUCUACUGAAUUUUGCUGUUAAAAUUAUUCACAAGUUGGACCUAGUCUUUGCAUGCACCUUUUUAUAGUAUUGGAAUGUGUAAAUUUGUACCUGAAGGAAAAAAUGGAAUGGAUUCAUUUUACUGAUGCUUCUACUAUGGUCUCUCAGUUUCAGUAACUGCCCUUUCUUGAAAUAUAUUCACUCUAAGAGUGCCUUUAAAGAUGU